rnacentral:misc_RNA from 1 species
AAUGCGUACUUCAUUGAUUUACUAAUAAAAAAUAUUCAUCUCUCAUUUAGCAAAUGUGAUUAAAUAUAUGAUAUACCAAUCAGAAGCACAUGCCCGCCCAUCCAAUAACUUGGAUUAGAAUUUGCUUACUACAGUAGCCUAAGAAUUAGAGUGGGAAUUGAGUGACCAAAAAGUGGAAAUUUGAUGCUACUUUAUAAAACUCAAUCAUGAUUAAUGGUGAAAAUAAAACAUUUUAAACUUGCCAAGAAAGUCCAGCCAUAAACCCAACACGUGUUCAAAGGGACUAGAAUGAUCCUCAAGCAACCAUGAAACCAUAAGAACUUUAAAGCCCAGAUACUGUACAGGAUACAAACUAUUUCUGAGAAGAAAAAAUUUCCUCACUAGUACCAUUUACCAUUCAUGUACCUUGUCUUGCUACAACAGCCAACAGGCUCCUUGUCCAAAACCAGCCCUACAGAUGGACUCUGGGCGACAAAAGCCAACAAAAGAGGCCUGAAAACCAACAAAUAUGUAGAUUCUUUGGAUUCACUUAGAUCACUAUUAAUCCUACAUUCAAGUUACUACUUGUUAGUGGAACCAUGUGAUAGGUGUGGAGGUGUUUUGAGGUGGCAGUGGCAUCAUGCAGUGCUGUUGCUGCCAUUGAGGCAAGCCUUGUGUUCCCCUGAAUUCAUUAAAUUCAUUCCCAUGCUCUUGCUCUAUGGUUUCAUUAGUAUUCUCUUCAAUAUCCAUUGUUGCUUCCCCAACUUGUUCAGCCUCCAUUAGUUCCGGAGACUCUGCCUGAGAGAUGUCCUUAUCUUGGGCAAUAGGAAACUGAGAAGGAACCCAAGGAACAACAGCCAUACAUUCAUUAGUUCCUUCUUCUUCCUCAACAAGUUCUAUAUUAGCAGUGCGGUUCAUCCAAGGAAACUGAUCUGCAAAGAAGAUCCCCACAAUUGAAGUCACAAUCAUAAUUCAUAAUCACAAGUGAAGCUCAGCAGCAGACAUGAAACCAUUAUCAUCUAGGCCCAUCUACCUUAUUUGGUUCACUAGUAUGUAAAAUUGAAACUUGAAUUAGUAUGCAAUGGUCCCUUGUCAAGUUGAACUUUCAGAAAAAUGAUUAAUAAAAAGGGGAAUCAAUGAAAGUAAUAUAUUCAUCAAUUGUCCAAAUACAAGUUCAUGCGAUAUGGAAGGCUGAUCCAUGGGAGAUAUGUCUACUAAUAAAAUAAACCAUUGGGCAAUCAACAAAUGCAGAUAAGAGGAAAAUGGCUUUAAUAUGCUCAACCAAUUUAUCAACGGCUUUUUUCCAAAGGAAAUAAUUUUCAGAUACCAUUAAUUCAGGCUUAGAUUACGUGAAGCCAUUACAACAACCAUCAUCCAAACCCCUACAAACAGCCAGCUUGUCCUUAGACCAAGAAGGAUAAGAGGCUGCUCAGGAAAUAAUAAAUCAAGAGAAAGCCAUCAUAUUUUGCAUCUUUGAUAAUUUUCCCGUGUACCCUUUGCUUGAAAAGUUGACAGGAGGAAGUUCCAGACUUCCAGCACUGCUAUGCUGAUCUUCCCAGCAGCACUUUCAUAAGCUGGGUAAGGUUUAGAAUGGCCUUCUGCCCAAUCCACACCAUAUUAAUAAAGAAACUCCAACUGAUCAUAUCGACUCAUAUUUUGUAAUUGUUACAUUAAACUUCUAGCCUAGUCUUUAAUUAAUAAGUCGAUUCCUACGAUCAAGUCCAGUGGCUUGACAGAUGAUGCUUAUAUGAACUCGGUGCUUCUAAUUUCUAUGAAAUAUCCGACUUUUCGGUCAUAUAAUACAUAUUUCCACAUCAAGAGAGUAAACCAACGGGAACAAAAACUAUUGACUUGACAUUACUAAUGAGAAAAAAAAAAAAAAUAAACGCAGAGAUAUGCAUAAUCCUUAUUCUUAAAUCCAAAGAAAAAGUCAGAAUCCACAGAGACAGAGAAAUUAGAAGGAGAAUAUAGAAGGAUUAGUUUAACAGGCUUGAACACGACAAUAGCGUUCUCUUGGUUCCAACCUGAACCCACCUCCUCUUCGCCACCAGUAACACCCACCAACGGAUGAAUAUCCGCCAGUUCUUCCUCGACUAUCGGGGGUAAUUCCGAAUCUUAUUCUUGAAGCACCAGUCGGCGAAUCGUUCGAGCAGGAGAGGACAGAGGAAUCUAAGAAAUCAUCAUUAACGUCGUCCAGCUCCUUCCUCUUC